rnacentral:tRNA from 1 species
UGGCUCAGAGGUUAAAGCGUCUGCCUCCAAUGCAAGAGACCCAGGUUCAAUCCCUGG